GCACAGUGUUCUAACCUCACAGCUGUGCCACUUGUAAAAGCCUGUGAUCUAAUCCUUAAUUGCCAGUUUGAAGUCUAAUUGGAGAAGACAUUGGUGAUAAAGUAGUCUCCCCAGGGAAGCAGCUGGUCUCCCCUGGAAGAAGCAUUCUCCCGUGAUAUCCAACACUGUAUUAGUGUCCAUAAUUUGAAACUACCAAAAGUAACUUCUCUGCCUCAUGUUUUCACUGUGGUAAACCAGAACAGGAAGGUCAGAAAUACCAGGAUUUAGCUUGGCAUCAAUGGGAAAUUAAAACAACAGCAACAAAAAGAAAAUAGAAACUCUAUAUUGUGUCAUACAUGCUGUGAUUCAGUGUUCCAGGCUGACGCACACAGCGGAUACUGCUCAUGUCCACACCAACCCUCUGUAUUCUCCAGAGCAAGGUAGGCAAUUAGGCUUUCAUAUUAAUAUAAAAAGAGCUAUAUCUUCAUGAAAUGUGACACAUUUAUUUCGCACCACCCAAAUGCAAGCUGUUACCAAAUCUUAGAGUUAAAAUAAUUGUGAAGUGGUCUUUGAGCCUCUACUCAUGACUGUGAUAUUUUGCAAGCCUCCAAGUAUUUCAAAGCCACAGUUUGGGU
rnacentral:lncRNA from 12 species